GAACGCGAAGAACCUUACCAAAUCUUGACAUCCUUUGACCCUUCUAGAGAUAGAAGUUUCCCCUUCGGGGGACAAAGUGACAGGUGGUGCAUGGUUGUCGUCAGCUCGUGUCGUGAGAUGUUGGGUUAAGUCCCGCAACGAGCGUAACCCUUAAGCUUAGUUGCCAUCAUUAAGUUGGGCACUCUAAGUUGACUGCCGGUGACAAACCGGAGGAAGGUGGGGAUGACGUCAAAUCAUCAUGCCCCUUAUGAUUUGGGCUACACACGUGCUACAAUGGACAAUACAAAGGGCAGCGAAACCGCGAGGUCAAGCAAAUCCCAUAAAGUUGUUCUCAGUUCGGAUUGUAGUCUGCAACUCGACUACAUGAAGCUGGAAUCGCUAGUAAUCGUAGAUCAGCAUGCUACGGUGAAUACGUUCCCGGGUCUUGUACACACC
rnacentral:rRNA from 1 species